rnacentral:rRNA from 1 species
UUAAGCGACUAAGCGUACACGGUGGAUGCCCUGGCAGUCAGAGGCGAUGAAGGACGUGCUAAUCUGCGAUAAGCGUCGGUGAGGUGAUAUGAACCGUUAUAACCGGCGAUUUCCGAAUGGGGAAACCCAGUGUGUUUCGACACACUAUCAUUAACUGAAUCCAUAGGUUAAUGAGGCGAACCGGGGGAACUGAAACAUCUAAGUACCCCGAGGAAAAGAAAUCAACCGAGAUUCCCCCAGUAGCGGCGAGCGAACGGGGAGGAGCCCAGAGCCUGAAUCAGUGUGUGUGUUAGUGGAAGCGUCUGGAAAGGCGCGCGAUACAGGGUGACAGCCCCGUACACAAAAAUGCACAUAUUGUGAGCUCGAUGAGUAGGGCGGGACACGUGGUAUCCUGUCUGAAUAUGGGGGGACCAUCCUCCAAGGCUAAAUACUCCUGACUGACCGAUAGUGAACCAGUACCGUGAGGGAAAGGCGAAAAGAACCCCGGCGAGGGGAGUGAAAAAGAACCUGAAACCGUGUACGUACAAGCAGUGGGAGCCUCUUAAUGGGGUGACUGCGUACCUUUUGUAUAAUGGGUCAGCGACUUAUAUUCUGUAGCAAGGUUAACCGAAUAGGGGAGCCGAAGGGAAACCGAGUCUUAACUGGGCGUUAAGUUGCAGGGUAUAGACCCGAAACCCGGUGAUCUAGCCAUGGGCAGGUUGAAGGUUGGGUAACACUAACUGGAGGACCGAACCGACUAAUGUUGAAAAAUUAGCGGAUGACUUGUGGCUGGGGGUGAAAGGCCAAUCAAACCGGGAGAUAGCUGGUUCUCCCCGAAAGCUAUUUAGGUAGCGCCUCGUGAAUUCAUCUCCGGGGGUAGAGCACUGUUUCGGCAAGGGGGUCAUCCCGACUUACCAACCCGAUGCAAACUGCGAAUACCGGAGAAUGUUAUCACGGGAGACACACGGCGGGUGCUAACGUCCGUCGUGAAGAGGGAAACAACCCAGACCGCCAGCUAAGGUCCCAAAGUCAUGGUUAAGUGGGAAACGAUGUGGGAAGGCCCAGACAGCCAGGAUGUUGGCUUAGAAGCAGCCAUCAUUUAAAGAAAGCGUAAUAGCUCACUGGUCGAGUCGGCCUGCGCGGAAGAUGUAACGGGGCUAAACCAUGCACCGAAGCUGCGGCAGCGACGCUUAUGCGUUGUUGGGUAGGGGAGCGUUCUGUAAGCCUGUGAAGGUGUGCUGUGAGGCAUGCUGGAGGUAUCAGAAGUGCGAAUGCUGACAUAAGUAACGAUAAAGCGGGUGAAAAGCCCGCUCGCCGGAAGACCAAGGGUUCCUGUCCAACGUUAAUCGGGGCAGGGUGAGUCGACCCCUAAGGCGAGGCCGAAAGGCGUAGUCGAUGGGAAACAGGUUAAUAUUCCUGUACUUGGUGUUACUGCGAAGGGGGGACGGAGAAGGCUAUGUUGGCCGGGCGACGGUUGUCCCGGUUUAAGCGUGUAGGCUGGUUUUCCAGGCAAAUCCGGAAAACCAAGGCUGAGGCGUGAUGACGAAGCACUACGGUGCUGAAGCGACAAAUGCCCUGCUUCCAGGAAAAGCCUCUAAGCAUCAGGUAACAUCAAAUCGUACCCCAAACCGACACAGGUGGUCAGGUAGAGAAUACCAAGGCGCUUGAGAGAACUCGGGUGAAGGAACUAGGCAAAAUGGUGCCGUAACUUCGGGAGAAGGCACGCUGAUAUGUAGGUGAAGCGACUUGCUCGUGGAGCUGAAAUCAGUCGAAGAUACCAGCUGGCUGCAACUGUUUAUUAAAAACACAGCACUGUGCAAACACGAAAGUGGACGUAUACGGUGUGACGCCUGCCCGGUGCCGGAAGGUUAAUUGAUGGGGUUAGCGGUAACGCGAAGCUCUUGAUCGAAGCCCCGGUAAACGGCGGCCGUAACUAUAACGGUCCUAAGGUAGCGAAAUUCCUUGUC